rnacentral:lncRNA from 7 species
GGUUUUGCCUAUGCUUAUUACUGCACCGCCGUGGUAGUCCUCUUCAUCCCGAGCGCUGACGUGCAUCUGCGAUUGGAAGAGUAGGUCUUCAGAACCCAUCGCCUUCAAAAUCCUGCACCGAGAGAAGGUGAAUAAGGUUUUUGGGAAGCGUCUACACGUGACUGCUCGCGCUCUUCUCCAUAGCUACUGUCGACGUCGUCGACCCUCUCGCUUCCACGCUGUCAAUCAGUAUGUCAAAUCAGUACGCAUCACCUGAUCUAAUUUCAUACUUUAUUUUAUAUGUUGUUAUAGAUUGUUCUAUGUACAACUUACUAGCAUGUUAGGGAACAACCUGCUAGUUUCUUUAUUAUUUUUUAUGAUUUAUAUUCGAAAUUUAAUCUAGAAUAUAUCUAUUUAUUUAACAAUCCAAAACACUUAUAUUAUACCCCUUGAUUUUGUUGGGUCGGAUAUAUUUUUUCGGUUUCCGAUCGACAAAAAAACACCUUUUCCUAUAGUGUUGGCAAGAAAUAUAUUAUACCCCUCCAAAAAUCAAAUUUAUUAAUGUUCCUUGAUCGAUUCAAGCUAAUUUGGAAGUAAAAGUGACCAUUGACAUAGAUGCGCUAACACGGCCUAAAUUGGUCAUAUCAAUUUUAAUUGCCAAAGAGGCAAAUUUAACGUUAUUAGCCAUAGUGUACAAACCUUGAAUAUCAUAAAAAUGGUAAGGCAUGCCAUAUUGAGGUUGUUUAAGAGUCGAUUCAUCAACAUAAUCGGUUGUCUUACCCUCUAUUUUAUUUAUGUGUGCCAUAAGAAUAUUAAUAACAAUCAUGAAAUUGUUUUUAGAUAUGGUCCUCUAAUCCUAUGCCAUCUUAGCAUAAUUAGCAUGAGUAGGGUAAGAAUCGCCUACCUCAUUGCCAAAAUUUUCCUAUGCUAUAGCUGAUGUAGAUGCAUUUGGAUCCCGAAGAUGCAUUCACAAUAUUGAGUAAUAUUGCCCCACCAAUCCUUGAUGCAACUCAUGAGGAACAAUUGUAGAUUUGCGGCUUGCUUGGCCUCAAUUUACUAAUGAAGAUCCUUUGAAAGCUCAUCAACUUAUGUCAAGUUCUUGAUGUUUCCUUGAUUGAAGGGAUUGGUGUGAUCGCUCACAUUCUUAGCCUUAUCAAUGUUCGAUAGGCUACUAGUCGAUUGGAUCUUGCUCUUCUUCCUAUUCUCGAUGUAGUCACAAAAGUGUGUUGACAUUAAAUUAGGUCGCACAACAGCAAAGGCUAGCACGCUUGAGGUCGCAAUGACCUUGAUCGUAGCAAGAAUGCAGCGUGUCGACACCGUUUGAGGACCCCGUUAGGUAAAUAUUGAACCCAUUCUUCUCUUAGUAGACUCUCGAACACCUAUCAGGAAAACCCAUGAGAGGAGCAUGUAGAAGUCGUUGUCCUAGGAUCCACAAGAUCACCUAGAACACCAUCACAUCUUGUUGGGAGAUGUGACGAAUACAAAGAUAGAGAUAAAUAGGACAAUAAGGAGAUUUUGUGUAUUUUUUUAAUCGAAAGUUGGACUUCUUAAUUGAGAUAAAUACUCUAUCUAAAAUAGGACAAUAAGGAGAUAAAUACUCUAUCUAAAAUCGAUUUAAAAACUGGUUCGGAUAAGCCAGAAAAAUGGCUUACCUGAUUUUCUCAGGUGCUGUUUGGUUCACAUAUUUGUAACGUGAACAGUAACCGAUAACGUUAAACCAUGUUUGUUUAAGUUUAACCAUAAUUAAUUAGAUACCACACUAGAAACUUAUAUCGUUCUAUUCAAACUUGGUACCACUGGUAAUCAAGUGUAAAUCAUUACCGUUGCCAUUUACGUUACAUUUUAUGAACUAAACGACAUCUUAGUCCCUACGAAGGCAGCUCAGCCAACACAAAAGGAAACUGGCUUAAACCAGUCUUCUUGUUUCUUUUUUAUUAUGCUUUGAAUCUUGUUCCACCAAAUAUGUUUGCAGCAUCUCCUUGAUACCAGAAACUUGUCAAUAUUACAACACUUCUAUAUUCACAAAUUUUUAAAUGCCAACACCGUUUUUAAAUGCCCCUGGAUUCUUUUUUUCAUUGUAAAAAAUGGUCCAUUAUUCAACUAAACUAUUUGAUAAGGCUCCUCCAAUCCAGUCUCCACAGGAGCUAGAGACGAAGCCUUAGAAAAAACCUACGGCCUAAUUAUUAUCCUUGGUCUGGCGUGCAAGUGCGGCUUUAAAUCGUUACCCAGAAAGAACAACACGAUGGAGCGAAAAAAGAAAGAAGCUAGCCGCUGCAUUUAGCUGAUGGAGUACUGAGGACAGCUGGAUUAAGAAUCUGCAACGUGCACGUGUCAGGCGCUGACACGACAGAAGUGGACAAUGUAGCUAGAGAGAAAGCAAAAACGAGGAAAGGGCGCUUUGUACUUGUAUAUAUGCGUCUUUCCAGCUGGUCCUACUAGAAUACUUUCUUGGGGAAGCACAGGACAGGCGGCAUCUCAACUCAAGCUAGCUAGGUAGCAACCUGGCCGGAUUGGGCAGCUUCCUGCAAGAAGCUCAUCCAAAGUUCCACCAGACUACCAGAGGGAGGGAGAGCUAGUGGAAAUUCAUGGGGACGAGCGAGUGGAAAUUGAUUUUAUGUAUUACUAGUAUAUGUUUCUACUCUGCAACUUAUAACACGCUCUUCGGCUCACUUUUUU